GAAGAAACGAAACUUCCGACGUGGUGGGCUGCGACUUUUGACUGAUUGAGAGUCCUCCAUCCGCAGCUCCUCCGUCUUCCUCCCAAGCCUUUUACCUUUUCUUUCUUUCUUCUCCAAAACUAGCAAUCUGAGAUUUGAACCUCUCUCUCUAAGAAGCAGCGGCAUGCUUUUCCAAACGUAAUCUGCAAUUUAAUCAAACAGCCACCGAAUUUUCUGGAAUCCUGUCAACGCAGAGAUGCUUCGGAUUUUGAUCGGUCAACGCCAGCUGCUUACCUGAGCUCCAAAAGAUCCAACAGUGAUGACGUCCUCCACCUCUGUUUCUGUUUGGCUGAUUCUGCUGUUUGGCUUCUUUCACCUCUACAAGCUUGCUGCCAAUGUCGUCUCUGUGUGUUAUUGAAUUUGGGAGUGUUUGGUUGUGGGAACCGGAAUGAACUAAUGAAUGAAUGAAUGAAUGACUGAAUGACUGGAAACAUUCCCGAAGAGCUUGGGGGUUUGUCAGACUUGGUGAGCUCGGAUCUUUACUUGGCAACCUUGCAAAACUGCGUUUCCUAUAUGAACCCGCAUCCUUUUGUUAGAUAAAAUCUAUCGUCUUUCUUUUUUAUUCGAUAUGCUAAUCUGCUGUUUUUAAUUGUUCCAUUGGAGUGACUUUCUUCCUUAAAGUCCUUGUGCCGGAUGCAUAUAAUUUAUAGUAUGAUCCCUGGUUUCAAGAUUCACAAGAAGGGAACAUCCAGUCAUUGCAAGUCCUGUGAAUUUCAUACACUUUCAUCUCAGUAAGAGGGAGGAGAGAGUGAAAAGUUACUAAUUUCUCUACCAUCGGAGAAUGCAAAUAACAUAUAGUUUUGCCAUGGAAUGCAGGGAUCUUUCAAAUAACAAUCUGACAGGGAAUAUUCCAGUUAAUGGAUUCUUUUCACUUUUUACUCCCAUCAGGUUUGUUGAAGCAACUUUACUCUUUUUCUUUAACUUUAGGGACAAAAAUAACAAUCUGACAGGGGAUACACUUUCAUCUCAGUAAGAGGGAGGAGAGGGUAAUAUAGCUUGAUCAAGUUGGUGUUGUAGUUGUUGUAUGGGAUGCAGCUCAAAAACUUUUCUUUGCGCGACCUACAAGUUGCAACGGAUACCUAUAGCGACAAAAAUAUUAUUGGUAGAGGUGGAUUUGGUAAGGUUUAUAGAGGACGCUUAGCUGAUGGAACUCUGGUUGCUGUAAAAAGACUUACACAGGAGAGAACCCAAGACGGGGAACUACAGUUCCAAACAGAAGUUGAAAUGAUUAGAAUGGCUGUCCACCACCGCAAUCUGCUUUGUCUGCAUGGUUUUUGCAUGACACCAACAGAAAGGCUGCUUGUAUAUCCUUAUAUGGCUAAUGGAAGUGUGGCAUCUUGUUUAAGAGGUACUCAUCUAAAUUGUUUGCUGCGUUGAUGAAUCUUUUUGUUUUCACGACGUUAAAUUUUUUUUCGAUCACAUUGAUAUAAUGAAUUUAAAAACCUGACCAAUUUGGCUUGGAGUAUCAGCACUAAUUUUUUUAAUGUUUUUUUUCCUUCAAUUUUAAGUUACCUUCUCGAUGCUGAUUUUAUUUCUGUUUAAUUUGAAAAGGAUGACAAGAAGACCCUUUUUUUGGGUAGGACGGGUGGUAUGAUAUGUGUUAGACCACAUUACCUAUUGCUUGUAAUUUGAAAUUCUCCUCUCAUAAGUAUGUGGAUAUAUUAUUGUAGGUCGUCCGGAAGGACAACCUGCACUUGAUUGGCCAAUAAGACAACGCAUUGCAUUGGGAUCUGCAAGAGGCCUUGCUUAUUUACAUGAUCACUGUGAUCCAAAAAUUAUUCACCGUGAUGUGAAAGCAGCAAACAUAUUGUUGGAUGAGGAAUUCGAAGCAGUUGUUGGAGACUUUGGGUUGGCUAAACUCAUGGACUACAAGGAUACAUAUGUUACCACACAUGUAUGUAGCACAUUUGGUCAUAUGGCACCGGAGCACUUUUCAACUGGAGUGUCUUCCGAGAAAACUGAUGUUUUUGGAUACGGAGUCAUGCUUCUUGAACUCAUCACUGGGCAGAGGGCUUUCAAUCCUCAGCUUGCGAGUGAUGAUGAUGUCAUGUUAGUUGAUUGGGUAUGCAUUUACGUCUUUCUGUUUGUGUAUGUAGCUAGUUUAUUGUUAUAUGAUUAUUUCCCAACAACAUUUGCAUUUCCUUAGUAAUUAGCUUUUAGAAAAUAAGUUUGGUUUAAUUAGCUUUUAUUAGUUAGAGUUAUGAUUAGCUGUGUAGAUUUUUUUAUCUUUAUUUAUAACAAUCCAAGGUUUAAACUGUCAGAGAUUAAUUAUUGCAUUUCCUUAGUAAUUGUUACUAUUGUUGUUGCUUCUUUUGCCAAUGUAUUGGCAUUUUGUGAUUUCUUGAAGAAUUUGGCAUAUGUUUUGUGUCGAUCCUAAUUUCCUCAUCAUCUCCUUAUUCUUGCUAUCUUGGCCUCUCGCUUUUUCCUAUUCUCUCUAUUGCAUCUUUGUCUUCUCUUUGCAUGAUAUCAAUAUUUGAAUGACGAUACAUUUUUGUAAGCAGUUUGAUUUUCUGUAGAAAAAAGUUUGAACAUUACAACACAUUUUUGUUCUCCUAGAUUCCCGCACCUUUUGUUUCAAAUUGUCGAACCACCCGACAAUUUCUGUUUUAUUUUUCCUAAAAAAAUUAGGUCAAAUGACUACUGAAAGAUCGGAGGUUGGAAAGACUUGUUGAUGCUGAUCUAAAUGGAAAUUAUAUUGACGAUCAAGUGGAGCAGCUGAUCCAAGUAGCUCUACUGUGCACACAAGGCUCCCCAGGGGAACGGCCCAAGAUGUCAGAGGUUGUCCAAAUGCUUGAAGGCGAAGGCGAAGGUUUGGCUGAAAGAUGGGAGGAGUGGCAAAACAAGGAGAUGAUCCGCCAAGAUUUCAACACUAUUCAUCAUCCAAGUACUUGGAUCAUAGACUCACCUUCUCCUAAUUUUGUGUUGUACUAUUUCUGUGAGUUUGAAGAAAUGGAUAAAAAGAAAGGAAAACCAAUGAAAAAGGCUUGAAAACUUUGAGUUUUAAUGAUAAGGACAAAAUAAAGGGUAAAGUGAAUAGUACCAGGAUUGACUUUUUAGUGUAAAAAUGUGGUUUUUCAUUAAAGUGAACAGUACCGGAUGCUUUUCGUUAAAGUUCCCUAAAAAGAAUGACAUGUGAUAGAGAGUUCAUCAUAUAGCUUCUGACUUUAAGGAUUUUUCAUUUAGUUCUAGUUCAUGUUGCGCAAAAAAUAUUAGGUAACACUGCUACUGGGGCUAUUGCAGGAGGGGUUGCUGUUGGUGCUGCUUUACCGUUUGCUGCACCUGCAAUUACACUUGCUUAUUGGCGACGGAGAAAACCACAGGAUCAUUUCUUUGAUGUACCUGGUUAGUGAACUAUAGGAGUAAUAUAGCUUGAUAAAGGUGGUGUUGUAGUAUGGGAUGGAGGUUUCACUAAUCUACUGUCUUUGCAGCUGAGGAGGAUCCAGAAGUUCUUUUAGGACAGCUCAAAAGGUUUUCUUUGCGCGAACUACAAGUUGCAACGGAUACCUUUAGUAACAAAAAUAUUCUUGGUAGAGGUGGAUUUGGUAAGGUUUAUAAAGGACGCUUAGCUGAUGGAACUCUGGUUGCUGUAAAAAGACUUAAAGAGGAGAGAACCCAACGUGGGGAGCUACAGUUUCAAACAGAGGUUGAAAUGAUUAGCAUGGCUGUCCACCGCAAUCUGCUUCGUCUGCGUGGUUUUUGCAUUACACGAACAGAAAGGCUGCUUGUAUAUCCUUAUAUGGCUAAUGGAAGUUUGGCAUCAUGUUUACGAGGUACUCUUCUAAAUUGUUUGCUGCGUUGAUAAAUCUUCUUGUUUUCACGAAAUUAAAAAAUGGGUAAAUUACAUUUUACACCCUCAGGUUUGAGUGUAAUUGUAACCUCAUACAAUAUUUUUAAAACAUUUCAAUUUUAUACAUUUCCUUAUCAUUUCUAGCAAUUUCAUACAUCUGUUAGUCAAACCGUGAGUUUGACUGUUAAGGAAUGACAUGGCAAAUGUGAGGUCCACAUUUUUAUUGACGGGGAUGCCAACUAUGAUUCACGUGGAAUAAAAACAAAUAAAAAAGAUUAAUAAAUAGAAAAUUAAAUUUUUUUAUAAUUAAAAACUAAAAAAAUAGAAAAGAUAAAAAAAAUGGUGUUGUUCAUCCCUUUCCUGCUCUCACCCCGUCCCCGCAUUCUUCAUUUCCCCCCGCCCACCAUCGCCACCUUCCCUUUCCUCAGCCACUGCAAUGAAUAGACCACAUUACCUGUUGCUUGUAAUUUGAAAUUCUCCUCUCAUAAGUAUGUGGAUAUAUUAUUGUAGAUCGUCCAGAAGGACAACCUGCACUUGAUUGGCGAAUAAGACAACGCAUUGCAUUGGAAUCUGCAAGAGGCCUUGCUUAUUUACAUGAUCACUGUGAUCCAAAAAUUAUUCACCGUGAUGUGAAAGCAGCAAACAUAUUGUUGGAUGAGGAAUUCAAAGCAGUUGUUGGAGACUUUGGGUUGGCUAUACUCAUGGACUACAGGGAUACACAUGUUACCACAGCUGUACGUGGCACAAUUGGUCAUAUAGCACCAGAGUACCUUUCAACUGGAAAAUGUUCCGAGAAAACUGAUGCUUUUGCAUACGGAGUCAUGCUUCUUGAACUCAUCACUGGGCAGAGGGCUUUUGAUCUUGCUCGGCUUGCGAAUGAUUAUGAUGUCAUGUUACUUGAUUGGGUAUGCUUUUACGUCUUUCUGUUUCUGUUUGUUGCUAAUUUAUUGUUAUAUGCAAGAUUAUUUUCCAACAAUAUUUGAAUGAGGUCCACCUUUGAGAGUUUUAACGAAAAGUCCACGGUACUGUUCACUUUAACGAAAAAUCAUAUUUUUACAUUAAAAAGUUAAUCCUGAUACUAUUCACUUUACUCUUUAUUUUGUCUUUAUCGUUAAAACUCAAAGUUUUGAAGCCUUUUUCAUUAGUUUUCCUUAAUAUCUUUCAUAUUUUAUAAAAUAAAAAAAAAGACAUAAUGUUGUUGAAAUUCAACGAUAUUCUUGCUUCGAUCUAUUGUUUCCCUAAGUCCAAAUCUUGGAAAUUAUGUUUCAAUACUCAUUUUAAAGAAAUGUUAUAUAAUAUACUGUAAAUUAGGUGUAUCUCUCGAUACCAAUGUUGCUAUUUAUUUAAGCCAAAAAUAAUGGGUCUCGACACCUAAUCACUUUAUUUCAAACCGCUAAUCUCAUAUGACAUUCUUAAUCAUUGUAUAUGGAACAUUUCUGCAAUCAUUUUAGUUGGUUCUUUGCAAUACUUUAAAAACCUAUUACUCAUCAUAGAGCUGCCAAGUUCCUGUCUAAUUAAUGUAAAAAUCACUUAGUCUUUUUUGGCCCGAAUAUUGAAAACAAUUAGAAUCAUGGAUCAAAGAAAAGAAAUAAUACUUAACUUUUAGAAAAUAACUUUAGUUUAAUUAGCUUUUAUUAGUUAGACUUACGAUUAAGCUGUGAAGAUUUAUUUAUCUUUAUUUACAACAAUCUAAGAUUUAAAUUGUCAGAGAUUAAUUAUUACAUUUCCUUGGUAAUUGUUGUUAGUAUUGUUGUUGCUUCUUUUGCCAAUGUAUUGGCCUUGCUGUGAUUUCUUGAAGAAUUUGGCAUGUGUUUUGUAUCGAUCCUAAUUUCCUCAUUAUCUCUUUAUUCUCGCUAUCUUGGCUCUUUCUUCUUUUUAUUCUCUGUUUGCAUCUUUGUCAUAUGUUCGCAUCACAUCAAUAUUUGAAUGACGAUGCAUUUUUGUAAGCAAUUUGAUUUUCUGGAGAUACUGCGGCCCUUCAAAUUUUGAACAUUACAACACAUUUUCACUCUCCUAGGUGCCCUCACCUUUUGUUUCAAAUUGUAGAACUAUCUGAUUUUGUUCCUUUUUAUUUUAACUAAAAUAAUUAGGUCAAAGGACUACUGAAAGAUCGGAGGUUGGAAACACUUGUUGAUGCUGAUCUAAAUGGAAAUUAUGUUUACGAUCAAGUGGAGCAGCUCAUCCAAGUAGCUCUACUAUGCACACAAGGCACCCCAGGGGAACGACCCAAGAUGUUAGAGGUUGUCUGGAUGAUGGAAGGGCGAUGGUUUGGCUGGGAGGAGUGGCAAAAAGAGGAGGUGUUCCACCAAGAUUUCAACCCUAUUCAUCAUCCAAGUACUAAUUGGAUCACAGACUCAACUUCUCAUAUUCCUCUGGAUGAGUUGUCUGGUCCCAGAUGAUAUGCUCGUUGGUUCUGUCCCCUGUAUACAUGUAAGAAGCCUCAGAGGACUGUAGAAGGUCCAUUUUGUAUUUCAGUGAUACAACAUUUGUGCAUAUGUUUUGUCUUUGUUUUCGAUUUUGUUUUUGUCUCUCGUAUUUUUUAGAUCACAAAAAUGGAGCUGGUGCUGUUGUAAUUUUUAUAGGGUUAACUGGCAUUACGAAGUUAUAUGGUGCUAGCAGGAAUUAGGAAGGGCCAUAAAAGCACCCAUUCCUGAUGAUUUAUGUAUCUAUCCAGAAAUUAGUUCAGAUUGUCGAGUAAAUAAUCAUUCUGAAGUUAUAACUAUAUAUAUUUUUUAGUGUUCCAAUAGAUCCUAUAGAUACGAUAAGGACACUAGGUCAAGUGCGUUCCUAUAGAUCCUUUAGAUACGAUAAGGACACUAGGUCAAGUGCACGGCUGCUUGUGGACGGAUAGUGUUUGAAAUUUCAUCGUGAUCAUUGCAAGUGUGACUUUGUGGCACUACCCUUAUAAGUACUUGAACUAAGGCAUUAGGGAUCAAGAGAUCACUUUGUGUCAUUCCAAAACAGGAAUUUGAGCUCUGUCUAUCCUCUUUAAAGUAUCGUCAAUGGGGAUCCCUCUACUAUCUUUGAGGAUUUAUUUAAGACCAACUGUAGGGUAAGACCCAAACCUAAAUUUCUAAGUUUAAACAAAAUAAAAAUGCAAUCUAAUUGUGGGAUUUUUUUGUUUUUUUUGAACAAAAUAUAUUAUCUAGAUUAGGUUAAGCUUUACAGUGGGCUAGUAAUAAUAUGGUUCAAAUUUGUCUUUGGCGAAAAUCGAACCUAAAGACCUCUAUUAUAUGUGAAGAGAAAUAUCAGUAAACUGUAGUACUAGAUAGUAUCUAAUGGUUGGACUUAAAGCUAAAAAGUUUGGCUUUUACCCAAGCUAAACCCAAAUUUGGGUUUUGUAUUUGGCAGACCCAAAUUUUUGGGGGCCCUACCUUUUUUUUUCUGAAAAGCAACGGGCGAAUGAUGUAUUGAAGUGGCCGACAGAUGGGUCCCUCACCUAGCAGAGUCCCAGCUGCAAAACAGUAACAGUUUAAGCAACUACGAGCCAUUCGAUUUGUGGGCCAUUGGUGAUCAACGGUCUAGGUUAAAAUCCUUUCAUGCUUUGCAAUCUUUAAAUUUUGAUCUAAUUGUUCAUAUAUAUAUUUUUUCAAAUCUAACGGUAAAAUAAAUCCAACUACUGAAAUUUAAAUUCAACGUCAAAAAUUAUUUUAUUUAGAACAUAUCCAUUAUACAUUUGGAUGGUUGGUGUGGUUUGUUCGGUUUUGAAUUUUUUGUUGAAAUUUAAUUUUUUUAAUGUCAAAACACUUGUCAAAUUAAAUUAAAAUAAUAUAAUUCAAAAGUAAAAAAUUUAAAAAAAAAUCCUACCGAAAAAAAAUUAGGGUUAAAACUAUAUUCCACCACAAUUAGUACAUUUUAGGCCAUGAAAUUUAGAUCUUGAUGGUUGGGUGAUAUUCACUUCAUAGACUUAAAUUCUGUCUUUUGAUGGACUAAAUAUUUGGGUUUGGGUGUAAAGGUUGGAGCUGGUCUAAGGACUUUAAUGAAAUCUUAUAUUUCUAAACGAGUUGCCUCAUAUGAGAAAGUCCUUAUAGUAUAAAUCUUAAAUUUGAAGUUUACAUAAUUUUAUGUGAUACUUUCAUUGGAAGCUAAUUCUUUUAGUUAAUUUAACUUGAUUUUAUUGUAAAAUAUUUUUUUGUGAACAUUAUUACCCAAAAAAGUUCAAAAUUCUCGAAGCCAAAUUUUAUUCUUUAGAACUACAAUAGCUUUCAUUAUUGGCUAUGUCAUGGUCUAUUAUUUCUGAUCAGAAUCAGACCUGGACUCUUUGCAACGCUUGGUCAACUAAAUGAAUUAUUAAUUAAAAGUAGCUUGAUAAUCAUUUUGUUUUCAAUUUUUAAUUUUUAGCUUAUACUUUUCUAUUAUGAAAUUAAUCAAAAUGGUUCAUGAAAUUGGCAUAAUUAAUCAUUUCGGUUCCUGAGAUUUGAAAUUGCUAGAAGUGAUCCCUGAGUUUGUUAACUAUCAAUUAUUUUGAUCAUUCGAUUAAAAAUCUCUAUUGAAUAAGAAGCAUGUUUAUACCAUAUUUAGGGCCUCGUAUUUAGACCUCGUAUAAAUACUCGGGGGACUUAAAUGUAAUUAUGUGAUAAAGGAAGGGGCAAAUAUGUAAUAAGUGAGGAGUCCUUAUUCUAUAAAAGGACCCCUCACCCUCACAAUUAGAAAAAGGCCUCACUCUCACUCUCGAAAAAGCCAAAUUCUUAGGCCCUCUCACCCUCUCUCAACGCUCUCACUCUCAGAGCUCUCUCUCCUUCAAAUAAAUACAAUCAGUGUGGACGUAGCACAAACCUUGGGGUGAACCACGAUACAUCUUGUGUUAUUUACAUUUCAUGCAGAUUCACGGUCGGAUUUACGUUGUUCCAAGACCUCCGGUUUUGUGCAUCAACAUUUGGCGCCGUCUGUGGGAAACGACACGAAAAGUUAUGUCGGUUCUCUCUCAAUUUUUCAUCUCCGCCGUGAAUCUGCAGAAAUCCAAGAACCCAAAAACCUCACUUUUUGGGUUUCUCCAGAAAACUUUCGCAGACCUCCAACCACCUCUGCCUCCUCUCUCAGUCAGUCAACACGGAAACCAAAGAUUUCAGCUGCAAAUUCACCUGCUUUUGCAGCCCAUCCACGCCACCAUGUCCUCAUAUUUCCACCGAGUUCCAAAGUGCUCACCAGAAAAAAUGAUGGCUUCCAUGUCUUUCUCUACAACUUUUUCAACACCUUUACAGAUUUUUCUCAAGCAAAAACAAAAAUAAGCACGAAUUCUUUAGCUUUAUGCCCUCCCAUGGCGUGUUGGAUCAAAUCCUCACUUGGGUCUCCUAAUCGGCAUUUUUUCGAAAUGGGUGGUCUUUCCAAUCGGAGAAUUUUAAUGGGUUUCUGAUCAAAUCUUGGUCUUUGGUUGUCUAUGCUAAAGCAGCUACAACAACAUCUCUAUAUAUCUCUCAUGUCCCUCAUCUCUAUCUUGUCCCUCAUCGCUCAGCCUGACACAUCAAUCAACACACCCAACUGAAAGAGGGAUAGUUUCGUGAUUACCCUGAUUCCGCCAUGGGCAUUCCCUGCGACGACAUCGUCGUUAUCAAGCCGAGGAAGGCUCCUGAUGAGCCAUCCGUCCUCACCGUCAACUGUCCCAACAAGGCCGGCCUUAGCUGCGAUUAGGAGAGGUUAAAGGAUCAGCUCUCGUCCGCGUGCCCGUCGUCGUGCUUCUUCUCAUUUUAUCUCAAUCAAAUCUCCAACGUCCCAACGCCUUCUUCGGUCUAUCUGUUGAAGUUUUGGUGCCACGACCAGAGAGGCUCACUCCACGAUGUUUGAGCCAUUGUGCGAUUUGGGCAAGAAUUUAUGGGAUCUCGCGGUGGCCCAGAUGGUUUAUGAUGAUGUUGUUGGGGUUGGAGUGGUCGAGGAGAUCAAAAAUCAAUGGCUUUUCUCAGUUUUCAGCAUCUGUCAAUUUGGCGGAGGAACGAAAGAUGCCAAAAUUAACUGCUGAGAGUACCUGGGAUUUUGAGAUGUGAUUCAUUAUUGUAUCUGAUAAACAACUUAGAAUUGUCUCUGCCACGUGUUCCACACCGAGUGCAUUGACAGGGGGCUGGAGUAUAAUGAUCAUCAUCAUCACCAUCACGACGAGGACAAUCACAAAACUUGCCCGCUCUGCAGGACUCCAUUAUUGAUGUCAUUGUAGAAGCGGAGCCUGAGUUGGGACCUUGCAGGCUUAAAAGGGACGGUCAAAUAAGAGGCUUAUUUCACUGAACAAAGUUAAACAGCAUGAAAAAGGAGAUUCAAUGUGCGGAGAUCCAGUAUGGAACUGGUGCAAUUUCAGGUUUCUUCCACCAGGACCAUGUCCAAGUCGGUGAUCUUGUUGUUAAGGAUCAGGACUUUAUUGAGGCAACCAAAGAGCCUGGAGUCACGUUUGUGGCAGCUAAGUUUGAUGGUAUUCUUGGACUUGGAUUUCAACAUAUCUCAGUUGGAGAUGCUGUUCCUGUCUGGUAUAAUUUGGUCAAUCAAGGUCUUGUUAAAUAACCAGUUUUCUCAUUUUGGUUAAAUCGCAAUACAGAAGGGGAAGAAUGGGGUGAGAUUGUCUUUGGUGGGGUUGAUUCUAGUCAUUUCAAGGGUGAGCAUACAUAUGUUCCCGUGACUCAGAAAGGCUACUGGCAGUUUGAUAUGGGUGAUGUCUUAAUUGAUGGUGAAUCAUCUGGAUUUUGUGCUAAUGGCUAUUCAGCAAUUGCUGACUCAUGCACCUCCCUAUUGGCUGGACCAACGGAAGUAUGGAGAGGUGGUGGAGGCUGUGAUCAUGAGGGAUCGUGCAAAAGGGGAGAUAAGAUUAAUGUACUUAUCAUUCCUUGUCUGCCAUCUACAAAAGAGAAAAGAAGACAGAAACAAAAGCAAAAGUAAAGCAGAAAAGGAAAAGAGAAAAGAAGAAGAGAGGAACAUGGAGACAUUUCAAAAGCAAGGAAUAAACACCCCACCAGAAUGAUGUAUUUUUUUUAUCUUUCGGAAAUAUCUGUAUAAACCCCAUCAGAGGGUAACUAAAAAAAAAUAGCAAAGCCCAAAACAAAUGGGCUGCCAUGUUGUGGAGGGCGAAGGCUCAUAAGCCCGAAAUAGCACCAACCAGGUGAUCAAAAGUACGCCUAGUACUCCACAAUUAUUCGGCAACCCACCGCUAUUACCACCAACCAGGUGAUCAAAAGUACGCCCAGUACUCCAAAAUUAUUCGGCAACCUGCCGCUAUUACCACCAACCAGGUGAUCAAAAGUAUGCCCAGUACUCUAAAAUUAUUCGGUAACCCGCCGCUAUUACCACCAACCAGGUGAUGAAGUGUACAACCCGUACUCUAAAUAUCAUUUGGCAACUAGCCAUUCAUGCCACCAACCAGGUGAUGAAAUGUAAACCCGUACUCUAAUAUCAUUUGGCAACUAGCCAUUCAUGCCACCAACCAGGUGAUGAAAUGUACAACCCGUACUCUCCUUCAUGCCACCAACUAGGUAAACAAAAGUACGCCCAAUACUUCAAAUUAUACAUGAGCAUUACUCAUGUCAAUCAUACAUAAACAUUCAUGAGCAUCACUCAUAUCAAUCAUACAUAAACAUUCAUGAGCAUCACUCAUGUCAACAUUCAUAAGCAUCACUCAUGUCAACAUCCAUGAGCAUCACUCAUGUCAAUCAAACAUUCAUGAGCAUCACUCAUGUCAAUUAAACACUCAUGAGCAUCACUCAUGUCAAUCAGCUUCAAAAGCUUCAUUUACAAAAGCUCUAGCUUCAAAAGCUUCAUUUACAGAGCUCCAGCUUCAAAGCUUCACUUGCAAAGCUUCAUUUACAAAGCUUCAGUGCAGGAUAUACAAAUACCACCUCCGAACAACCGCCACUUCGGCCCAUACAUGGAUUCAAUUUGAAGUCUCUAGCUAACAGACUCUAUUGACUGAAGACUUGAGGGACUACACUAUACACCAUAUAUUGGGCCUCAACUAGGCCUCAUGAAAAAUACUUGGGGGACUCUAGCCCAUUAUUUAUGUAUUGAGGAGCGAGCCCUUAUUUUAUAAAAGGGAUUCCCUCACCAUCAUUAGAGCAGCAUCAACUAUAGCCCAUUAUUCAUGUAUUGAGGAGCGAGCCCUUAUUUUAUAAAAGGGACUCCUUCACCAUCAUUAGAGAGCAACGCCGCCAGCUGAGCAACCGUCUCGCCGCGAGCAUCAACUCUAGCCCAUCAUUUAUGUAUCGAGGGAACGAGCCCUUAUUCUAUAAAAGGGACUCCUCACCAUCAUUAGAGAGCAUCAACUCUAGCCUAUCAUUCAUGUAUUAAGGAGCGAGCCCUUAUUCUAUAAAAGGGACUCCCUUAUCUUCAAACGCCGCAAGCCGAGCCAACCAAGGCGCCAUAAGCCACGAGCUGAGCAGCAUCGCAGCAUGUGCUACUUCUAAUUGAGCGUCAUUUCAGAUUGAGCACCGCCUCAUAUCAAACAUCAGUUCAAGAUAACAUCUAGUUACUUCGGCCCACACAUGGACUGAAUUUCAAGUCUCCAGCCAAAAGACUCUCUUGACUGAAGACUUAGGGGACUACUGUUUAUACCAUAUUUAGGGCCUCGUAUUUAGACCUCGUAUAAAUACUCGGGGGACUUAAAUGUAAUUAUGUGAUAAAGGAAUGGACAAAUAUGUAAUAAGUGAGGAGUCCUUAUUCUAUAAAAGGACCCCUCACCCUCACAAUUAGAAAAAGGCCUCACUCUCACUCUCAAAAAAGCCAAAUUCUUAGGCCCUCUCACCCUCUCUCAACGCUCUCACUCUCAGAGCUCUCUCUCCUUCAAAUAAAUACAAUCAGUGUGGACGUAGCCCAAACCUUGGGGUGAACCACGAUACAUCUUGUGUUAUUUACAUUUCAUGCAGAUUCACGGUCGGAUUUACGUUGUUCCAAAACCUCCGGUUUUGUGCAUCAACAAAGCAAAUGACAAAAAUAACCUCAAUUCAAUAAAUAAUGGACCGUAAUAAUUUGACAAAAAUUGAAGAUAAUUUUUUUUUUUUUUUACGAAAUGAUCAUGUUGAAUAAAAUCAGAAAUCUCAAAACAAAGUGAGGAAUUGCAUAACAAUUUCAGAUAUCAGCUAAAAAGUAAAAAAUAAAUAUAAACAAAAGAAGAAACGAAACUUCCGACGCUGUGGGCUGCGACUUUGACUGAUUGAGAGUCCUCCAUCCGCAGCUCCUUCGUCUUCCUCCCAAACCUUUUACCUUUCUUCUUUCUUCUCCAAAACUAGCAAGCUGAGAUUUCAACCUCUCUCUCUCUAAGAAGCAGCGGCAUGCUUUUCCAAACUCAAUCUGCAAUUUAAUCAAACAGCCACCGAAUUUUCUCUAAUCCGGUCAACGCAGAGAUGCUUCGGAUUUUGAUCGGUCAACGCCAGCUGCUCAC
rnacentral:lncRNA from 1 species